GACGAACGCUGGCGGCGUGCCUAAUACAUGCAAGUCGAACGCAGUGGGGACGGGUGAGUAACACGUGGGUAACCUCCCAUCAGAGGGGAUAACACUUGGAAACAGGUGCUAAACCGAUACUGAUGGAUGAACCCGGGGUGCAUUAGCUAGGUGGGGAGGUAACGGCUCACCAAGGCCACGGUGCAUAGCCGACCGGUGAGGGUGAUCGGCCACACUGGAACUGAGACACGGACCAAAGUCCUACGGGAGGCAGCAGUAGGGAAUCGUCGACAAUGGACGAAAGACUGACCGAGCAACGCCGCGUGAGUAAAGAAGGUUUUCGGGUCGUAAAACGCUGUUGUUAGAGAUGCGGUAUCUAACGAAAAAGGCACGGCUAACUACGUGCCAGCAGCCGCGGUAAUUC
rnacentral:rRNA from 1 species